rnacentral:tRNA from 1 species
GUUUAAAUAGCUUAUAAAGAGCGUAAUAUUGAAGAUAUUAAGGAAAUAAAUUUAUUUUUAAGCA